AGCCUCUGUCUACAUCUCAAUUCCAGUGAGUUAAAGUCAUCUUCUCCCUUUGGGGUGGGUCUCUAUUUGCGAUCCAACUUCCAGGCAAGAUCUGCACAAGCAGAAAGAAUGAGAAAAGUUCAGAAAAGUCUGUAGGUGGAGGAUACCCAACUUUGCAAAUACAGGGAUGUCCCUCAGCUCUAAGAAGACUUCAUGGAGAAAAGCCCUUCAACAGGACACAUGCCAAGGGAGGAAUCUUCUUCAAAACAGAUUUUAUUCUAUUUACGUAAUCUCUACAUCCAACGUGGGGCUCAAACCCACGACCCUGAGACUAAGAGUCACAUGUUCCAUGGACUGAGCCAGCCAGGUGCCCCCAUUUUUCUCUUGAGCAAAGCAUUGCCAUCAAAAAGCCUGAUGAAAAUCUGAAGGAGAGUGGGCUUAUGGCUAAGAAGAUUAAACUUCAUCUUGCAGGAGGGGGCAGAAGCCAAAGGAGGGAUGGUGGCUUUCUAAGGAGAUCCACAGUGCCACUGGCAAAGCUGCGAGAAGAAUCCAGGCUCUCCCAGCCACUCAGCAAAAAGGACCACAAGGAAUGACACUCACAGACCAAAGUGCUUACAAGGAAUUCCUUUGGAAGAACUGGGCUCUUGGAUAGAACACACAGAAGGUGCCCAAUGUCACUUCCUUUCAAUCAUACUUCUCAAUUCUGCGUCCACACCUUGCAAGAACAAGCCCCCGGCCCAAAGACCUGCAUUCCAGCCCCUUUCCUGAGGCCUCUGGGGCCACAAAGUCUCCCCAGAUUAGUCCCUCUCCUGCAACUCUCCUGCAAGGUUCUGAUAGUCCUCAACUCUCCAUUCUGGCAGGAUAAAGGGAUUGAGAAUGUACUAAGUGUUCCAAAGACCUGGCAAAGGCCAAGUGCUGACUGGACGGUAAUAAAGAGGGGAGAAUCUAUUUGUCUCCAAUAAACCAGUACUUCUCCACAUUCUUCAAACUCUCCAUUUAAAAGCCAUACUCAUGGGGCACCUGGGUGUCUCCGUUGUUAAGUCUGCCUUCAAUUCAGGACAUGAUCCCAGGGUCCUGGGAUCCAACCCUGCAUCGGGCUCCCUGCUUGGCAGGAAGCCUGCUUCUCCCUCUCCUACUCAUCCUGCUUGUGUUCCCUCUCUCCCUGUGUCUCUCUCUGUCAAAUAAAUAAAUAAAAUCUUUAAAAAAAAAAAAAAAA